UACGUAGGGUGCAAGCGUUGUCCGGAAUUAUUGGGCGUAAAGAGCUCGUAGGCGGUCUGUCACGUCGGAUGUGAAAAUCCAGGGCUUAACCCUGGACCUGCAUUCGAUACGGGCAGACUAGAGUUCGGUAGGGGAGACGUGGAAUUCCUGGUGAGCGGUGAAAUGCGCAGAUAUCAGGAGGAACACCGGUGGCGAAGGCGGCAUCCUGGACCGGCAUUGCGCUGAGGCGCGAAAGCCAGGGGAGCAAACGGG
rnacentral:rRNA from 1 species